CGCACCUUGCACUCUUGGGUUAUUCCCGAGAGUAUGCUUGUUUGAGUAACAGAAAAGCUCAACCCCGCUUCUUAAUUUACUUUGGGAAGUUGUAUGAAAGGGUUAGGAUCAUGGCAGCUAUUUUAUUCGAAAUUCUGCUGAAAGACAAGCAGCUUGACUUCAGAUUUUGCUUGCAUGACUAUUGUUAUAAAUCUAAAUGUCGCGAUAGUCGAGCUUAAUCUAAAAAGCUAUGAGAAAAAUUCUAAUUUAAGCUUGUUCUCAAAUCAAGUAGGACUACCCGCUGAACUUAA
rnacentral:misc_RNA from 1 species